rnacentral:lncRNA from 1 species
UUUUAAAAUUGACACUUUUUUUUCUUUUUUCUUUUUGAGACAAGGUCUCACUAUGUUUCCCAGGCUGGUCUCAAAUUCUUGGGCUCAAGUGAUCCUCCCGCCUCAGCCUCCCAAGUAGCUGGGACUAUAGGGCCGUGCCACCAUACCUGGAUUAACACAAUUUUUGAGAGCAGUUUUAGUUUCACAGCUGAUACAUUAUUUUUAAGACUUAUUUUAAUAACUUGUCACUCAGUGUGGCACCUGCCUUUUUGAUAGGUCUAUCUCUGUCUCCACUGGUUUUGUAGAUUCUGACAUAGAAAUGUUGGCCAUGGCAGAUGGCAGAUAGAGAGCUUCCUCCAGAUGGACAGGACCACGUCUGCUACUCCCUGGGGAUAACUGCUCCACCAAGCCCGCUCACAUCACCGAAGCCUGCAUUUGCCCUCUGGUCUUGCUGAAAUGAAACCCGGACACUCAGAGCUUUCCUGCCACCUCCCUGACCAAGCCUACCCAAGAAGAGGCAAGGUACAUGGAGAAGGGAUCAUCCUCAUUUUACAUGUGAGGAAACUGACGUUCAGAGAAGCGAACUGACUUUCUCAAGGUUGCAAGGCUCAGCUAGCUCUUCCAUGAAAACUGAAGUGGCCAACUCACUGCAUUGAAAUGAACUGGCCUGGCCGGGCACGGUGGCUCACACCUGCAAUCCCAGCACUUUGGCAGGCCGAGGCAGGCAGAUAACCUGAGGUUGGGAGUUUGGGACCAGUCUGAUCAACAUGAAGAAAACCUGUCUCUACUAACGAUACAAAAUUAGCUGGGCAAGGUGGUGCAUGCCUGUAAUCCCAGCUACUCAGGAGGCUGAAGCAGGAGGAUCUCUUGAACCCGGGAGGUGGAGGUUGCGGUGAGCCAAGAUUGCACCACUGCACUCCAGCCUGGGCAACAAGAGCGAAACUCUGUCUCAAAAAGAAAAAGAAAAAGAAAGAAAGGAAAGAAGGAAGGAAGGAAGGAAGGAAGGAGAGAGAGAGAAAAAGAAAAGAAAAGAAAGAAAGAAAUUAACUGGCCUUAAGUUUCCCAUUUUGGCCAGGCUGCCAGGAAGCUGACGGCCUACUGUGAAGCUCCAAUCUAGCACUGCCCCUUAGCAUGGGGACUUAGCUGUCUUUCUCUUGUCCUCAGCACCCGUCAUGUGGCUUGAGCGAGCAGUCCUUUUCUGUGGGGUGCCUCCGGCCCUCUUUUGGAAAGCUGGGGUGGGGAAAUGGCGUUAAUGUGUCAGUUAUCUAUCUUCAUUGGCUUCUCCAGACCUUUUCUCCACUCUGCACUGGGCGGUGGGAGAUGACACGAAUGGACGUGAAUGGGCUCUUGUUUCUGCUUGGGCUGGGCCAGUAGGGAGCUCUGGUAGGAGGGAGCACGGUCACAGUCUCCCCUUGUCAGGAAGCCUCAUCCACAGGGUCUUGUCCCAGGGAGCACCCCCUCUCCUCCCAGUAUCAGGCCAGAGGUGAAUAUCACUAUAAAUAGCCCGGCACCCUGUCCUAUCCCUUGCGCUUUCCUAUACAUGCCCACAGCUUUGUAAACUGUCCCCUUACCACAAUCUCCUCAAAUCACCCAAUUCGAGUGUUUCCUGCCAGGGUCCUGAACACAGAGCACAUAUAAAGGGCAUUGUUGGCUGGGGACGGUGGCUCACGCCUGUAAUCCCAGUACUUUGAGAGGCUGAGGUGGGCAGAGAACCUGAGGUCAGGAGUUCGAGACCAGCCUGGCCAACAUGGGUAAACCCCAUCUCUACUAAAAACACAAAAAUUAGCCGGCCAGGCACAAUGGCUCACACCUAUAAUAGCACUUCGGGAGGCCGAGGUGGGUGGGUCACGAGGUCAGGAGAUCGAGACCAUCCUGGCUAACACGGUGAAACCCUGUAGUCCC